UAAUCUAGUGGUUAGGAUGUUUGACUCCCAGCCAAAAGGUUCUGGGUUCAAACCCUACCAAUGUCC